UUUUAAUAUAAUAUACACAUAUAUACAUGCCGAUUCUCUGGCUGUUACCUUAACUCACCUAUUUUUUUGUUGUCCUCAGAUGCUGCCUUUUCAUUUGUCUUCUCCUCUGUUGUUUCCAGAUCUGUGUAGGAAACGAGAUUGCUGGAUGUCGUCAGACGUGCCUCAUCACAUCAGCAGAGUUGAAUGAGCCAAUCAGCAGCCAGGAGCACACAUCCCUGUGACAGCAGCUGAUGAUGUCAUAUUGGCAGUGCGAAGUAUAUGACUGGAGGCAUGAUUUUCCUUAACAUAAAACCAGAUCUACACCGUGG